UGAGUAACGAUAAAGGGGGUGAAAAACCCCCUCGCCGGAAGAUCAAGGUUUCCUGCGCAACGUUAAUCGGGGCAGGGUGAGUCGGACCCUAAGGCGAGGCUGAAAGGCGUAGUCGAUGGAAAACCGGUUAAAAUUCCGGUACCGGCAAUUACUGCGAUGGAGAGACGGAGAAGGCUAGGCUGGCAGGGCGUUGGUUGUCCCUGUUUAAGCGAGUAGGGGGAGUGUCUAGGUAAAUCCGGAUGCUCAUUGCCCUGAGACGUGAUGACGAGUUGGCCCUUGUGGCUGACGAAGUAGCUGAUGCCAUGCUUCCAGGAAAAUCUUCUAAGCUUCAGGUAAUUGUCGUCCGUACUGUAAACCGACACAGGUGAUCUGGUAGAGAAUACCAAGGCGCUUGAGAGAACUUGGGUGAAGGAACUAGGCAAAAUAGUACCGUAACUUCGGGAGAAGGUACGCUCCCAGACGUGAAGUCCUUGCGGCGUAAGCGUUGGGGAGUCGAAGAAAUCAGGUAGCUGCAACUGUUUAUUAAAAACACAGCACUCUGCAAACACGUAAGUGGACGUAUAGGGUGUGACGCCUGCCCGGUGCCGGAAGGUUAAUUGAUGGGGUUAGCGCAAGCGAAGCUCUUGAUCGAAGCCCCGGUAAACGGCGGCCGUAACUAUAACGGUCCUAAGGUAGCGAAAUUCCUUGUCGGGUAAGUUCCGACCUGCACGAAUGGCGUAAUGAUGGCUACACUGUCUCCACCCAAGACUCAGUGAAAUUGAAAUCGCUGUUAAGAUGCAGUGUUCCCGCGGCUAGACGGAAAGACCCCGUGAACCUUUACUAUAGCUUCACAUUGGACUUUGAUAUUACUUGUGUAGGAUAGCUGGGAGGCUUUGAAACCAUGACGCCAGUUGUGGUGGAGCCGUCCUUGAAAUACCAGCCUGGUGAUGUUGGGGUUCUAACUUAGGUCCAUUAUCUGGAUUGAGGACAAUGUGUGGUGGGUAGUUUGACUGGGGCGGUCUCCUCCUAAAGAGUAACGGAGGAGCACGAAGGUACGCUAAUCACGGUCGGAAAUCGUGAGGUUAGUGCAAUGGCAUAAGCGUGCUUGACUGCGAGACAGACAUGUCGAGCAGGUACGAAAGUAGGUCUUAGUGAUCCGGUGGUUCUGUAUGGAAGGGC
rnacentral:rRNA from 1 species